GACGAACGCUGGCGGCGUGCUUAACACAUGCAAGUCGAACGGAAAGGCCCUGCUUUUGUGGGGUGCUCGAGUGGCGAACGGGUGAGUAACACGUGAGUAACCUGCCCUUGACUUUGGGAUAACUUCAGGAAACUGGGGCUAAUACCGGAUAGGAGCUCCUGCUGCAUGGUGGGGGUUGGAAAGUUUCGGCGGUUGGGGAUGGACUCGCGGCUUAUCAGCUUGUUGGUGGGGUAGUGGCUUACCAAGGCUUUGACGGGUAGCCGGCCUGAAAGGGUGACCGACCACAUUGGGACUGAGAUACGGCCCAGACUCCUACGGGAGGCAGCAGUGGGGAAUAUUGCACAAUGGGCGGAAGCCUGAUGCAGCAACGCCGCGUGCGGGAUGACGGCCUUCGGGCUGUAAACCGCUUUCGCCUGUGACGAAGCGUGAGUGACGGUAAUGGGUAAAGAAGCACCGGCUAACUACGUG
rnacentral:rRNA from 1 species